ACGGCUCUACGGACGCGUUCCCCGCAGGCGUGGACUGCACCUUGCCCUCGAUCACCACGGCGGACCUGUAAGCUUGGUCCUGCAGGGAAUUCAGACUCGGGGAGUAGCAGGCGAAUGAGACCCCGAUGAGCAGCAUGGAUAGAUGCACCGGAUCAAGCCUCAUGCCGCCUGCUUUGGCUCGGUGGGGGCUGGUCGCGUUGCGGCAGGGCACUGUGGGCUGCGGGGCGAUGGCGGUGGACCUGGGUUGAAGGAGGAGAAAGCGAGUAGGCUCCAGCAGUAGCACGGCAGCGCGGCGGACCUUGCAUAAGUGUCCAUGCCAUCGGGAUCCGCUGCUUUUUCCCCAAAUGCUUUUCAGCGGGAAGGAAUUGUGAACCCCCUCCCGUCUUCGUUAUUCUGCCAUAAGACGACGCCACUCUUUAUCUUUGCCCCCAAAAAUUGCAGUGGGAAGGUGCCGCUGUUAUGGUUCUCCGUAUCAUCUGCAACGGAGGGAAGAGACGCAAAAUGCUGCAGUGAAGCACAAGUUGGGGGAGCCUGAUCGCAAAACAAAGGGACCCGUUUCAUUCCACGAAAACAAAAUAGAACAAUGAUAGAAAAUUAUAACAAUAAAAAAUAAAUAAAAGGAAUUAUUUCUGCACGCCAGCUACAGCGUUAAUACGCCGCCUUCCACCGCGGCUCUCUCUCCGCCUCCCCUACCAGCCGCUGACGGAGAGAAAAUAAGACCGAUCGCCAAGGGGCUCCAAAAAAAAAAAAAAAAAAAAAAAAAAAAAAAAA